UACGUAGUUCCCGAACGUUGCGCGAAAUUACUGGGCGUAAAGGGUCCGUAGGCGGUCUGGUAAGUGGAAGGUGAAAGCCUGGGGCUCAACUCCAGAAUUGCCUUCCAAACUGCCGGACUUGAGGCAGGGAGAGGUCGGCGGAAUUCCCGGUGUAGUGGUGAAAUGCGUAGAUAUCGGGAGGAACACCAGUGGCGAAGGCGGCCGACUGGAACUGUCCUGACGCUGAGGGACGAAAGCCAGGGGAGCGAACCGGAUUAGAAACCCCAGUAGUCC
rnacentral:rRNA from 1 species